rnacentral:rRNA from 1 species
AAAUAGAUACCCGGGUAGUCCACGCCGUAAACCGAUGAGUGCUAAGUGUUAGAGGGUUUCCGCCCUUUAGUGCUGCAGGCUAAACGCAUUAAGCACUCCGCCUGGGGGAGUACGGUCGCAAGACUGAAACUCAAAGGAAUUGACGGGGGGCCCGCACAAGCGGUGGAGCAUGUGGUUUAAUUCGAAGCAACGCGAAGAACCUUACCAGGUCUUGACAUCCUCUGACAACUCUAAAGAUAGAGCGUUCCCCUUCGGGGGGACAGAGUGACAGGUGGUGCAUGGUUGUCGUCAGCUCGUGUCGUGAGAUGUUGGGUUAAGUCCCGCAACGAGCGCAACCCUUGAUCUUAGUUGCCAGCAUUUAGUUGGGCACUCUAAGGUGACUGCCGGUGACAAACCGGAGGAAGGUGGGGAUGACGUCAAAUCAUCAUGCCCCUUAUGACCUGGGCUACACACGUGCUACAAUGGAUGGUACAAAGGGCUGCAAGACCGCGAGGUCAAGCCAAUCCCAUAAAAAACCCAUUCUCAGUUCGGAUUGUAGGCUG